rnacentral:misc_RNA from 1 species
UCCGGCUUAUCACCGGCAGUCCCUCUAGAGUGCCCAACUAAAUGAUGGCAACUAAAGGCGAGGGUUGCGCUCGUUGCGGGACUUAACCCAACAUCUCACGACACGAGCUGACGACAACCAUGCACCACCUGUCACUUUGUCUCCCGAAGGAGAAAGCCCUAUCUCUAGGGUGGUCAAAGGAUGUCAAGUCCUGGUAAGGUUCUUCGCGUUGCUUCGAAUUAAACCACAUGCUCCACUGCUUGUGCGGGUCCCCGUCAAUUCCUUUGAGUUUCAGCCUUGCGGCCGUACUCCCCAGGCGGAGUGCUUAUUGUGUUAACGUCGGCACUAAGGGUAUUGAAACCCCUAACACCUAGCACUCAUCGUUUACGGCGUGGACUAC